UCUGGGGUUUGGGAAAAUAAUCCAGUCUUACCCCAAAACAGCUCUGUUGAGUUUUCCUCUGUUUUGUUGCCAGCUCUCCCUCCUGCAGGAACAUCUCUGCGUCUCUCAGCCGGCUUCACGUUAUCUUGUUGCUCCUGGCUACCUUUUGGCUUUCAACCACUGUUGUCUCUGUUCAGGACUGCUCCACUGCCGCUUUCAGUGUCUUCUGCUGCUGCUGACAGUAAGGAAACUUUUCCAGCUCUUGAUUACAGGACCCGGUCCAGCACUGACACUAUACCGGGUCUCCCGUGACCUCAGCUGGGGGCUGGGGGCCCUUGGCCCACAGAGGGGCUCACUGGCCCCCUGCUUCCUCGUGGCUCAGAUCAUGGCUACCCUCCUUCUACACUCCCUUCACUACCUUCUCUUCCGUUUCUGUGGGUGUGUAAUUUCCGUAGGGCGCACGUGGACUAUUGAUUGGUCCAGUAUUAUCAGUGGGGCAAACCAUGACUACCUCAGAGAAAAGGUUUUUCAAACCACCACAAUAUGGAAGGGAUACAUUUUGUAAAGUAUCUGGACUUUUAGAAAGCCUUUUUUUUUUUUUUUUUGCAGAUACAGGUAGACUGUCUUCAAAUAAUGUCAUGUUUAUGUGCUACUUCUGUAUAAAUUUGAGUUUACCCAGGCUAUUUGUGAAGUGGCUUGUUAUUUUGAUAAUCUGUGUAUAUAGAUACAUGUGCCUUUUAUUUGUGGAAAAGGGCAGUAUUUUCAUAUAAAUCCAUUUCAUUCGAUGUCCCAUUUCACCAGGGAGAACCUGCAUUAAACUUUGAUUGUAUUUUGUACUUACUGAGUUUGUAGCAUUAACGGUUGGGAAUAUUGUAGAACUCACAUUUGACAACAGGAACAGCAGUAACAGGAGACUUCAGGUAUUUGUCGAGGAGAUUUUUGGGGCCUGUUUCUUGGUUUUGGGAACACAAAGGUUGAUGCUUGGCAAGGAUAGAAUAUUGUUAUUGUAGUGUAGGUCACAUUUUUAUGAAUUGAUGGAUGUCCUGCAGCAAACAGGGUUGAUGUGCAAAUGUGUGUGUUAGUGUGUUCUGGAACUUGGCUGUGUAACUGUCUGAUGGGAUCUGUGAGAACUAAGAGUUGGUGUUUAGAAAUGAUCUCAUACCUGAAGAACAACGGAGCAUAUCUGAAAUCCCAUGGGAAUUUUCAGUGUAGAGAGUCAAACCCACAGAUAUUGCACAGUCUGUUCCAAUGAAGGCAAGACCAGUCUGAGGAUAAUGAGGGGACUGAGCCUGUGAGACCCAAGACUUGUGUUCCUGAUGUUAAAUCCUGAAAUGUCUAAAGCUGCAACUUUUAACUGACCUGCUCUUCAAAAAAUAGCAAAAUUAAACAUUAAAAUUAAACCUCGCAGUGUCAGGAGCAGAUCUUGGCUGACCUGCAUGUUCCAUGCUAAAUACAAAUUUGAGCACUUCAGUCAUAAUAGUCUGCACCUUUCCUGGAUUGCCCUGAUGCUGUUUGUGCUGAACAGGUAUUACAAUAAAGGCACUUUUACCUGUCCCUUGUUUACUUUUCUGAGCUCUUUGGAGCUAUCUUUUCUUGUAAGAGCAGUAUAUGGUUAUCUAUGUUUGUCUGGUGGUAAUUUCUCAAGGGAUUUGUGUACAGGACGGGGCCUGAAUUUCUUGGGUGGUUUGCACAGGUUCUUUGAUAACACAUUCCCUGGUGAUACUUGAAAGUUUGUUAUAAAAUGUCUUUUGGAGCAUAUGCUGUCAUCUGUAAUGCUUGUUUGUUUUUUUUCAUUCAGGGAUGGGACUUGUGUAAUACUCACAGUCUAAUGCUUGGUCCUUAGGAUUUCUUUAUUAUUUUUAAUUUUAAUUUAUUAGGAUUUCUUUUUCCUUUUUAAUUUUAAUUCAAGUGUUUUAAUAUCCCAUUUUCCCUACAGAUGUGUGGAGGAAUUGAUUUGCUCACUGUAAGCAAAAUAGCUGCUCUUGGUCGAAGGACUGGCCUGUGUAGAACAGCAGAUUUCUUGCCAUGUUUCUCCUUCCAACUCUUCCUCAAAACUCUUCCUGUGCCAUCCACUGACGCCUUUCUAGCCCCCAAUCAUCUGCUCGAAUCUCUAAAACACGUGACUCAUGUUCCAUUUU